rnacentral:lncRNA from 1 species
UGCUCCCAAAUGUCCAAAGCACCUUUUCAUUUUUGUCUAUUCAUCUACUCUCUCUCUUAUUAUCUUUAACCAAUAUGUAGGGGUGCUAGCUCAUCGGUAAAAAACCGAACCGGUACCGAACCGAAAUUAUCGGAAAAACAAGAACCGAAACCGGUACCGGUUCGGUACAAAAUUGGUACCGAUUUUUUUGGUUCGGUUUUCGGUUAUACCGCAUGUAUAUAAUUAUUAAUGUUUUAGCUUUUUUUCAUCCCUUUGGAGCUGAUUUACUUUGUUUGUUAAGAAAUCUGCAGUGGAGCAAGUGCAACACAUCUUAUUAAUCAUACAUGAUACAACAUACAUGAUACAGUGGCUGUAAUUUAAUUCCUAUUAAUGAUGAAACAAUGGGCAUACAUGAUACACCAAUACAUUAUACACAUACUAAAAUAAUGGCUGACUAGUUAUUGUCAAUUGUCAUGACUCAUGAGUUCAUGACCACAGACCACUGCUAAGUUUGCACACGGACAUGACCAUGUUGAGUUGUAGGAAAAAAAAAAUCAAUUUUGCAAAGGCGAGAAGCUUCAAUGGAGAACGGGUAAAGUGAAGAGUAAAGUAGCUCUGAAGAAGUGAAGAGUAAAGUGAAGUGAAGCUCUAUAAAGUAAUUGAGUAAAUAAAGUACUUAAAAGAGUUAAAGUAUUAAUUUGUAAAUUUCAGCUUUUUUUCGAUUUUUUGGUUUUACCGAAUUCCAAAUUCUCAUUACCUCUACCGGUACCGAAAAGUAUAAAAAAAUCGAAAAAUCAAAACCAAAAAAAUGAAACCGAAAAAAACCGGUACCGGUUUCAACCGAUUCGGUAAAAAAAUCGAAAAAUCGAAUUUUUUGAGCACCCCUACCAAUAUGUAGUUAUCUCAUAAUCUUAGGAGGUGUAUUCAAUAAAGACUUUUAAAUACUUUUUUUAAGUGACAUACUUUUGUAGAGUUUGUGGAUUUUAAUAACUUUUAA